rnacentral:rRNA from 1 species
UGGGGAAUAUUGGACAAUGGGCGAAAGCCUGAUCCAGCCAUGCCGCGUGUGUGAAGAAGGUCUUCGGAUUGUAAAGCACUUUAAGUUGGGAGGAAGGGCAGUAAGCGAAUACCUUGCUGUUUUGACGUUGCCGACAGAAUAAGCACCGGCUAACUCUGUGCCAGCAGCCGCGGUAAUACAGAGGGUGCGAGCGUUAAUCGGAUUUACUGGGCGUAAAGCGUGCGUAGGCGGCUAAUUGAGUCGGAUGUGAAAUCCCCGAGCUUAACUUGGGAAUUGCAUUCGAUACUGGUUAGCUAGAGUGUGGGAGAGGAUGGUAGAAUUCCAGGUGUAGCGGUGAAAUGCGUAGAGAUCUGGGGGAAUACCGAUGGCGAAGGCAGCCAUCUGGCCUAACACUGACGCUGAGGUACGAAAGCAUGGGGAGCAAACAGG